rnacentral:rRNA from 1 species
AAUAUUGCAAAAUGGGGAUAACCCUGAUGCAGCAACGCCGCGUGAGCGAUGAAUGAAAUAGGGUCGUACAGCACUUUCCUAAGAGAAAAUAAUGACGGUACCCUAGGAGGAACACCUGGCCAACUACGUGCCAGAAGCCGCGGUAAUACGUAGGGGGCAAGCGUUAUCCGGAAUCAUUGGGCGUAAAGGGUGCGUAGGCUGCCCUAUAGGUCAGAGGUCAAAGGCUACGGCUCAACCGUAGUAAGCCUUUGAAACUGUAGGGCUUGAGUGCAGGAGAGGAGAGUGGAAUUCCUAGUGUAGCGGUGAAAUGCGUAGAUAUUAGGAGGAACACCAGUGGCGAAGGCGACUCUCUGGACUGCAACUGACGCUGAGGCACGAAAGCGUGGGUAGCGAACA